GCCCCCAUAGCUCAGCGGAUAGAGCAGGUGCCUUCUAAGCACUUGGCCGCAGGUUCGAGUCCUGCUGGGGGCA
rnacentral:tRNA from 1 species